rnacentral:rRNA from 1 species
UACGGGGGGAGCAAGCGUUGUUCGGAUUUACUGGGCGUAAAGGGCGCGUAGGCGGCACCGCAAGUCGACUGUGAAAUCUCCGGGCUUAACCCGGAAAGGUCAGCCGAUACUGCGGGGCUAGAGUGCAGAAGGGGCAACUGGAAUUCUCGGUGUAGCGGUGAAAUGCGUAGAUAUCACUUGGAACGCCAAUGGUGAAGACAGCUCGCUGGGGGUGUCCUGACGCUGAGGCGCGAAAGCCAGGGGAGCGAACGGG